rnacentral:lncRNA from 1 species
UAGCGAUCUUUAGAAAUGAUGCAUGUCUGUAUACACUCCUUAGGCGCUGGAUGAUACGAUGCACAAUACAACAGUCAUCCUAUUUAAAAGUGCUCCCCAUCCGAAAGCUUUGUUUUUAAAUUUUAUAUAAUCAUCCAUAAAAUUAUUCGAAACCUUUUUAAAACUGUUUCCCACUCGGAAACUCUAUUUUGAAAAUCGACUAUCUCGAGGGGUAGAAAACCAGAAUGCAUAAAUACAUAAAUCCAAAACCACAGAUCCAAAUAUCUCUAAUUGCAUAUAUAAUAGGAAAUCACCAACUCAAACAGUUCAUAAACAUUCAAACAACAAUAGUGAUCAUCUAACUAAACCAUUUAAUUAUUAAAACUACUAAGUGCGGAAAUGAAACAU